rnacentral:lncRNA from 1 species
GAUUUGGGUCAUUUGGAGUCGAGUACUCAUGGCAAAAGCGUGGUUCAGAUUGAUUAUUAAGCCGGUUCGAGGUAAGUGGCUUGCCUAACUUUGUGUGGGGGACCUUCCCCUUAGGAUAUGAUAUAUUUUAUAAUUGAAAUGCCUUGUACGUGAGGUGACGAGUGCGUACUUGAGCUAAUUAUUGAAAAAUCCGGUUUUUCCUUAAGUAUUUCAAUUGAGUUCUUUUUCCUGUUUUAUUCUACUUGCGAAUUUAGCCUGUUUCUAGUUUAGAAAAGCAUGUUUAGUUGACUUAAUUGCGUAUUUGCUUAAACUGCCUUAAUCGCAUUACGUGAAGCAUGUUAGGCUAGAAUUAACUGUUUACUUGGUACGAAAUUUAGCUUAAUUGGGUAUUCCUGUGUUGUUGCUGUGUGUUUUUACUUUGGGACUACGGGAUGGCAUCCCGGGAGAUCCCCUGUACGUAUUUAUGAUCUGAACUGAGGUGCGGGAUACCAAGAGAUCCCUGACACAUAUAUUGAGGAUACCAAGAGAUCCUCGGGAUAUCAAGAGAUCCCUAGUAUAUAUUGAGGAUACCAAGAGAUCCCUAGCAUAUAUUGAGGAUACCAAGAGAUCCUCGGGAUACCAAGAGAUCCCUAGAAUAUUUGAGGAUACCAAGAGAUCCUUAGGAUACCAAGAUAUCCCUAGCAUAUAUUGAGGAUACCAAGAGAUCCAUGGGAUACCAAGAUAUCCCCAACUAUCAUCCUUGUUAUGGGUGGUACUUCCUGGUGUUUGCCUUUAUUUCUGUUUCCGUUAUUGUACUCUUAUUAUCCUGUAUAGAUUCUUACUGUAGAUUCUCAAUUGUACUGCUUACCUUAUCAUGUCAUCUUUAUAUUUAUUUAAUCUCAAUAGGGCCCUGACCUUCCUUGUCGCUAUCCAACCGAGGUUAGGCUUGGCACUUACUGAGUACCAUUGUGGUGUACUCAUGCCCCUUCUGCGCAUAUUUUUUUCAUGUGCAGAUCCAGGUACCGCUACUUAGGCCUAUCAUCCUUGAGGAGGUGACUGCUCUAGAGACUUCAAGGUACAUCUGUUGCGUCCGCAAACCAAGAAGUCCCUUUCUAUUCCUGCUUUUAAUAUUUAGCCCUUCUGUAUUUUUCUGUUCUAUUAGACAUUCUGGAGUUAGAGCUAUGUAGUAUUGAUCUUAGCUUGUGAUUCGUGGGUUUCCGGGUCUUGGAUUUAUGUAUUGGUAUUGAGAGUUAAACAUGGUGUAUGCCGAGCAACACAUUUAAACAUUAUU